rnacentral:rRNA from 1 species
CCUACGGGUGGCAGCAGUGGGGAAUAUUGGGCAAUGGGCGCAAGCCUGACCCAGCAACGCCGCGUGAAGGAAGAAGGCUUUCGGGUUGUAAACUUCUUUUCUCAGGGACGAAACAAGUGACGGUACCUGAGGAAUAAGCCACGGCUAACUACGUGCCAGCAGCCGCUGUAAUACGUGGGUUGCAAGCGUUAUCCGGAUUUACUGGGUGUAAAGGGCGUGUAGGCGGGACUGCAAGUCAGAUGUGAAAGCCAUGGGCUCAACCCAUGGACUGCAGUUGAAACUGUAGUGCUUGAGUGAUGGAGAGGCAGGCGGAAUUCCGGGUGUAGCGGUGAAAUGCGUAGAUAUAAGGAGGAACACCAGUGGCGAAGGCGGCCUGCUGGACAUUAACUGACGCUGAGGCGCGAAAGCGUGGGGAGCAAACAGGAUUAGAUACCCGGGUAGUC